AGAUUGAACGCUUAGCGGUCAUGCCUAACACAUGCAAGUCGAACGGGUAACAGGCCCUUCGGGGUGCUGACGAGUGGCGGACGGGUAGAGUAAUGCGUAGGAAUCUACCCACGAGUGGGGGAUAAGCCCGGAGUAAAUCCGGAUUAAUACCGUCAUAUGCCUACGGGGUAAAGCGGGGGAUCGUAAGACCUCGCGCUGGUCGGAUGAGCCUACGUACCGAUUAGUUAGUUGGUGGGGGUAAAGGCCGUACCAAGGC
rnacentral:rRNA from 1 species